rnacentral:rRNA from 1 species
UACAGAGGGUGCAAACGUUGCUCGGAAUCACUGGGCGUAAAGGGCGUGUAGGCGGGAAUGUAAGUCGGGCGUGAAAUCCCUAGGCUCAACCUAGGAACUGCACUCGAAACUGCGUUUCUUGAGUAUCGGAGAGGAAAGCGGAAUACCUGGUGUAGAGGUGAAAUUCGUAGAUAUCAGGUGGAACACCAGUGGCGAAGGCGGCUUUCUGGACGAUAACUGACGCUGAGACGCGAAAGCGUGGGGAGCAAACAGG